AACAGAACCCCCAAGCGUUACCCGGAUUUAUUGGGCGUAAAGCGUCUGUAGCCGGUUUGGCAAGUCGCAGGUUAAAUACCAAGAGCUCAACUUUUGGAAUGCCUGCGAAACUGCCAGACUAGAGGGCGUUAGGGGCUGAUGGAACGCACGGUGGAGGGGUGAAAUCCGUUGAUAUCGUGCGGAACACCAAAAGCGAAGGCAUUCAGCUGGGGCGACCCUGACGGUGAGAGACGAAAGCGUGGGGAGCGAAAAGG
rnacentral:misc_RNA from 1 species